CGCAUCUGUGCAUGCAGCAUAUCAAUAAGCGGAGGAAAAGAAACUAACAAGGAUUCCCUUAGUAACGGCGAGUGAAGCGGGAAGAGCUCAAAUUUGAAAUCUUAAAGGGUUUCCCUUUACGAAUUGUAGUUUAAAGAAGUGUUUUCUGUUGAGGUUUUGGUAAAAGUUCUUUGGAAUAGGACAUCAUAGAGGGUGAGAAUCCCGUAUUUGACCUUUACUUUCCAACUUUGUGAUACACUUUCAAAGAGUCGGAUUGUUUGGGAAUGCAGUCCAAAAUGGGUGGUGAAUUUCAUCUAAAGCUAAAUAUUGGCGAGAGACCGAUAGCGAACAAGUACCGUGAGGGAAAGAUGAAAAGAACUUUGAAAAGAGAGUUAAACAGUACGUGAAAUUGUCAAAAGGGAAGCGUUUGACACCAGUGUUGUUUUUCUGAAAAUCAAUUAAAGAACUGUUUAUGCUAAGUUGUUUAGACUUUAUCAGCUAACUGUUUAGUUUUGAGCUUUCCUUUAAUGCACUUUUCAGUUAACAAGUCAACAUCAAUUUCUUUUGCUGUAAAAAAGCUUGAGGAAGGUGGCUUGAGAUUCGUCUUAAGUGUUUAUAGCCUCUUGCCUAUGCAGUCGGAGAGAUUGAGGUCUGCAGCGUAGAUCCUUCGGGGCUAAAUGCAUUUGUGCUAAGUUAUAGCAUUUUAUAGACAACUUGUUGACUAUGAUUUGUCUUGUAGCUUACUCGCUUAUGUUAUUUUACCUACGCUUAGGAUGUUGAGCGCAUGUCUCUCUCU
rnacentral:rRNA from 1 species